GCGGGGGAUAGAAUGUUCAUGGCUCAUGUUUUUUACGGGAGUCUUCGGCGCGAAUGCAGGGCGCUGAGGCCGUGCGGGUCCGGCCUCUCGCC
rnacentral:tRNA from 1 species